CCUUCGAUAGCUCAGUUGGUAGAGCGGUGGACUGUAGAGAAAAUUCGGAGGGUUGCUUUCAAGUCGAAAUGCACUUGAUCAAACCAAACCUCCAAGAGUUGUAAAAGAAAUCCAUAGGUCACUGGUUCAAAUCCGGUUCGAAGGA
rnacentral:tRNA from 1 species